rnacentral:lncRNA from 1 species
AUGGUCUAAGUGUUGCAGCUAGGCGAAAACACAAGGUAAGAACUUCUCUUUGUCUCUCUCUCUUGUUUGUGAAUUCCUUUACUUAUUAAUUUUAUUUUUUUCUUGCAGUACUAGGGUGUAGAACAAGUUAGCAAAACAUCCAAAGAUUUUUAUUCAUGACAUGGAGGUUGGCAUAGAUGUCAUGUGUUAGAUAGAGAGGUUGGCAUCAAUGUCCUUUACAAGGGCUCUUAAUCAAACAAAAUGUACGUUUGUUUUCUUGUUCUUUGAUUUUUUUUUCGGUUGAGGAAGGCUUGACACUAGUGUAGAUGAGUUUAUUACUGUUGAGAAUGAUGUAG